CAGACGUGUUGUUGAGCUUUGGAUAAUCAGAACAGAGGUUUUACUGAGGAUGCAGGCAGGCCUGCCAGUAAGGAGUUGCAGUAGUCAAUGCGUGAUUUGACCAAAGCCUGGACC